rnacentral:pre_miRNA from 11 species
AACUGCAUGGGAUAAUCAUUUUCCCGUGCGGUUUUUAACCCAACCGCGCGGGAAAACGAUUAUCCCGUGCGGUU